GACGAACGCUGGCGGCGUGCUUAACACAUGCAAGUCGAACGGAAAGGCCCUGCUUUUGUGGGGUGCUCGAGUGGCGAACGGGUGAGUAACACGUGAGUAACCUGCCCUUGACUUUGGGAUAACUUCAGGAAACUGGGGCUAAUACCGGAUAGGAGCUCCUGCUGCAUGGUGGGGGUUGGAAAGUUUCGGCGGUUGGGGAUGGACUCGCGGCUUAUCAGCUUGUUGGUGGGGUAGUGGCUUACCAAGGCUUUGACGGGUAGCCGGCCUGAGAGGGUGACCGGGCACAAGGGGACUGAGAUAGGGCGCAGACGCCUACGGGAGGCAGCGGUGGGGAAUAUUGCACAAUGGGCGGAAGCCUGAGGCAGCAACGCCGCGUGCGGGAUGACGGCCUCCGGGUUGUAAACCGCUUUCGCCUGUGACGAAGCGUGAGUGACGGUAAUGGGUAAAGAAGCACCGGCUAACUACGUG
rnacentral:rRNA from 1 species